CAAAGUUCAUUUAUCAGCUUUGAUUUAAGAAAUAUCUACAAAGUUUUUUUUCUCAAAUUAGUUUCCAGAUUUUAUCAACCUGAAAGUGAGAACUCAAGUUGCUUUGGUGCUUUUUAGAAUACUCAAUUGCUUUGAGUUUCAUAUUGCAUUGACCAUCAACUUUCAACCCUGCAUAGGAGUUUAUUUUCUGAAGCACCAACUUAUGCUUAGCUGUUUCUGAAGCCACACAGUAGCAGAUAAGUUUGAUGAGGUUCAUGUGCCCAGAAACUGCUUGUGUAUUUGAAAUCAGAUUUAUCUAUAGACUGCUACUGUUUUAGAAGAUUUUUAUUUUAUUUUUGGUACUCAUCAAAUAAUUUGCUAUAUCAAAUAUUUAGCCACCAUAAUAUUUCAGUCCUUGUUACCUGUCCAUCUGCUCAUGAGUCAGUUGGGAAAAUUAUUAUUUCUAGAUACUAUUCAUUAACGGAAACAUGCUGCUCCAAAUGGAAGCUAGCAUGUUUCCUGGCAAGUACUCAUGAAGUCAUGAAUGAUUCUCUAGACUGCAUCUUACUGUUGCCGGAAAUGAGAGAAGGUAGUGAAGUGAGGCAAGCUGAACUUUUCUAUUGAUUAAAUGACACUCCGUGAACUAUCUACAGCUUCAUGAUGUUUUGCCAUAUCAUUAAAACUGAGGUUUUCUUGUUUGAUUGUAAUAAACAGUUUUCACUUAAUUUCUGUUCUAAUUCAAACACUCUGCUCUGGCAUUUUAUCUAAUGUUCAUCUUCUACUAAUGCUGAAUAAAUGCAAUUAACUACAAUUGUUUCUCAGCUGUGAUAUAAUUAAUUAUUUUAAUUACCAAACGAGCAUGGACGCAUCAUGAAGGUGGGUAUUCAUUGGUGUCAGCAGCGUGCAUGACCCCAUGGUGUCACAGAUGUGGUGAAUGUUUGAUCAUUCCAAAAAACUUGGUUUUGUGUUUUGUCGCAUUAAACAAUAGUGGAUUCCCUCUACGCCGGGUGGGUAACGUUUAUAAUUUUUCAUUUUUCUCACGAAUUUUGCUUUUUGGAUUAAAUGUCAUUUUAAUCUGUUUUUUAAUGAAGUUUCCAUGGUUAAUGUAUGGUGUAAAUCUGUUUUUUAAUGAUAUAUAGCAAUUGCAGAUUAUGGAUUUACAUGUAUUUGCUUCACCUGAUAUUAUACAACAACUCUGACAAACUUAAUGUGCACGUACAUUGGCUUUACCAGAAGCGUGGUGGGGUGGCAGACCUCUAGGCUCUUUUUAAGCAGUUAAAAAAGAAAUCACUGAUUUGCAUUGCGGCCGUGACAGAGAUCUUGUUUAGUUUUAUGCUUCUUUGUGCUAACUUCAUCAUGACAUGUUCGAUAUUUAAAUUAAGAAUAUGAGGCAAUCCCUUUAGCUAUUUAUUAUGAACCUCGCAGAAAUCUUUGGUUGCUUUGAUGUGCAUCUCUGAAAUACCGUGGCGUUAGCAUGUGUACUAUACUAUAUUAAUGAAGGCUUAAAGCUUUUGAUAUUUUAGAGUGGUUAAGGAUGGACCAAAGGAAGGUUUUGCUAGCUAGGGAGUUCUACGAUGACAUCAAAAGAAAAAACAAACCAAUUAUUCUUUCACAUGUAUACUGAUUAAUUAUUUUGAUCUUGUUCUCUUUAUUAAUUCUCAAGCACUGAUAUAUGCAGUUAACUUAUGUACUACUAUGUUGUGGUUAUUUUCUCUUUUUUUCAUGAGGUACCAUUGCAAAUAAGUUAGGCAAAGUAUUCAGUAUAUGAGCUGCAGCUGUAUCUGGCCGCAAAUGGAUUAUAGCUUGUAUGCAUAGAUAUUUUCUCUAGGCUGAUAAUAUGAGAUCAUUUAUCUAAUACUACUAACAGUUUUUGUUUUGGUUCUGAAAUAUUUUCUGUAGUUAACUGAAUUAUGACUUUAUUUUCUGAUAUCUAUUCAGAUGGAUAGGUGGAAGCAGUCAUUAGAAGACGGGAUCAUGCACAUUUUUUGUUAAAAAUAUUUGUAGCACAAUGUAGUAUUUUAUUUAAGAAAAUAUUGCAUUUUCAUGUAAAUUUAAAGUGUCUGAUUUAAAAUGUCAAGGUUGAGUUGGGUUCACGAGCAGGUGACC